UACGUAGGUGGCAAGCGUUGUCCGGAUUUACUGGGCGUAAAGAGCGCGCAGGCGGUCGUUCAAGUCGCGUGUGAAAGCCCCCGGCUCAACUGGGGAGGGUCACGCGAUACUGAUCGACUGGAAGGCAGGAGAGGGUAGUGGAAUUCCCGGUGUAGUGGUGAAAUGCGUAGAUAUCGGGAGGAACACCAGUGGCGAAGGCGACUACCUGGCCUGUUCUUGACGCUGAGACACGAAAGCUAGGGGAGCAAACGGG
rnacentral:rRNA from 1 species